GAUGAACGCUGGCGGCGUGCCUAAUACGUGCAAGUCGAGCGAACAGACGAGGAGCUUGCUCCUCUGACGUUAGCGGUGGACGGGUGAGUAACACGUGGAUAACCUACCUAUAAGACUGGGAUAACUUCGGGAAACCGGAGCUAAUACCGGAUAACAUGUUGAACCGCAUGGUUCAACAGUGAAAGACGGUCUUGCUGUCACUUAUAGAUGGAUCCGCGCCGCAUUAGCUAGUUGGUAAGGUAACGGCUUACCAAGGCAACGAUGCGUAGCCGACCUGAGAGGGUGAUCGGCCACACUGGAACUGAGACACGGUCCAGACUCCUACGGGAGGCAGCAGUAGGGAAUCUUCCGCAAUGGGCGAAAGCCUGACGGAGCAACGCCGCGUGAGUGAAGAAGGUCUUCGGAUCGUAAAACUCUGUUAUUAGGGAAGAACAAAUGUGUAAGUAACUAUGCACGUCUUGACGGUACCUAAUCAGAAAGCCACGGCUAACUACGUG
rnacentral:rRNA from 1 species